UUAACUCUGGAACUGCCAUCAAAACUUUUCAGCUAGAGUAUGAUAGAGGAAAGCAGAAUUUCUAGUGUAGAGGUGAAAUUCGUAGAUAUUAGAAAGAAUACCAAUUGCGAAGGCAGCUUUCUGGAUCAUUACUGACACUGAGGAACGAAAGCAUGGGUAGCGAAGAGGAUUAGAUACCCUCGUAGUCCAUGCCGUAAACGAUGUGUGUUAGACGUUGGAAAUUUAUUUUCAGUGUCGCAGUGAAAGCGAUAAACACACCGCCUGGGGAGUACGACCGCAAGGUUAAAACUCAAAUGAAUUGACGGGGACCCGCACAAGUAGUGGAGCAUGUGGUUUAAUUCGAAGAUACGCGCAGAACCUUACCAACACUUGACAUGUUCGUCGCGACUUUAAGAGAUUAAAGUUUUCGGUUCGGCCGGACGAAACACAGGUGCUGCAUGGCUGUCGUCAGCUCGUGUCGUGAGAUGUUGGGUUAAGUCCCGCAACGAGCGCAACCCUCACUUUUAGUUGCCAUCAUUUAGUUGGGCACUCUGAAAGAACUGCCAGUGAUAAGCUGGAGGAAGGUGGGGAUGACGUCAAGUCCUCAUGGCCCUUACGUGUUGGGCUACACACGUGCUACAAUGAUAUCUACAAAAGGAAGCAAGACGGCGACGUUAAGCAAAUCCUUAAAAGAUAUCUCAGUUCGGAUUGCACUCUGCAACUCGAGUGCAUGAAGCUGGAAUUACUAGUAAUCGUGGAUCAGCGUGCCACGGUGAAUGCGUUCCCGGGUCUUGUACACACCGCCCGUCACACCAUGGGAGUUGGUUCUACCUUAAGGCAAGGUUUCAAACCCUUGACCACGGUAUAGUCAGCGACUGGGGUGAAGUCGUAACAAGGUAGCCGUA
rnacentral:rRNA from 1 species